rnacentral:lncRNA from 1 species
UGAUCUCCAAUCACUUUUCUAUCAUAUUGGAACUAAGCAAGAGAGAGGAUCUCAACCACAAAGGGGAGCGAAUCCAAAUAUCCACCACAUGAGGGCAAGUGAAAAAAAUAUGAUCAACAGAUUCUCUUGCACCACAAAAACAAAACUCAAGGGAGAUAUGAGGAAGGCGCUCAUGAAGAAGAGACUUACAAGGUAAGCAUUCUAAAUAACAUUGCCAAAGAGAGAUCUUAAUUUUGCUUGGAAAAUUUAAUUUCCACAAUUUCUUCCAAAAGGCUGCAUUUUGAGACGUAGAGGAUGGACCAAGAUCCUGUGAGCCUGAAAAAAACACCUACAUGUGCCCUGCCUGCUACCCAAUAACUUGACUUGACCGAGUAUGAGCCAUUUCUCUUAAAGUUUCACACCAGCUUAUCUUCUUGAGGGAAAAAAAAAAAAAAAAAAAAAAAAACUUAAAAGGGAUUUUUAGAAUAUGGUCAAUCGAGUCUCCCUCAAAGUUAGCUUCUAACUUGUGAAAAUCCUAAGAAUGAGUUGUUGGGUUGAUAAGCUGUGAAACCCUUGAGAUGCUCUCAUCAUGCCCAAUUCGAAUUUCAAGUAUUUGAGGAAAAAGGCUAGAAACCUAACAAGUCUCGUAAAAAAAUGUUAUGACCAUAACCUAUGUGCCAUCUUAUACCCUGUUUAAGAAGCUUUCUACCCUAGAAAAUAUUUUGCUAAACCCAUGAUGCUCAACUAUCCUGGGACGCUUACAGAAAAUAGGUGUGAGGAAAAUAUUUCCCUUUAAGAACUUGAGCAAUUUUGGAAUUUGGAUUUAUAAGGAUACGCCUCCCCUGCUUUGCAAUCAAGGCUUUAUUAAAGUUUUCUAUGUCUCUGAAGCCCAAGCCACCUUCACUUUUAGAUUUACAAAGCUUAGACCAAGCAGGCCAAUGUAGUUUCCUUUCAUCCUUCACUUGACCCUACCAGAAAUUAGCAACUCUGCUAUUAAUUGUAUUGCACAAAGAGGCCGCAAAGCUAAAAUAAGACAUAGCAUAUAUCGGGAUGGCAAAAGUGACGGCCUUAAUUAAAACUUCCUUUCCACCUUUGGAUAAAAGCUUCUCCUUCUAGCCAGAACACUUUUUCUUAAUUCAUCCUCUGAAAUUAUUGAAGGUUUGUGUUUUGAAUUUGUGAAAGUAAGAAUGAAGACCCAAAAAUCUAUCAAAGGAGUCUAAACUCUAAAUAUUGAGAUGGAGAGAAAUUUUUUGCCUUACUACCAAAGGAGUAUUUAGGCUAAAGUAGAUAACUGACUUAGACAAAUUAAUAGAUUGGCCACUAGCCCUCAAAUAAUCUUGAAAAAUAGAUUUAAGAAUGUUAGCCUAGUCCAACUAUGCAUGAGAAAAUAUAAUAGAAUCAUCUGCAAAUAAUAAAUGUGACACCGAAGGGUAGUGGCAAGAUGCAACUAUGCCCCAAAGAUUUGAUUUCUUGAUAACAUGAGACAAACUUUCUACAACAAAGAGAAAAAUAUAGGGUGAUAUCAGAUCUCCCUGACGGAUGCCUUUGGUUAGUGUAAGAUAACCAAACUGGUGCCUAUUGAUCUUGAAGGAGAAGAUAAUCGUGGUCACACAUUGCAUAACCCAAUUUAUCCACUUCUCGUGAAAGCCAAAACCUUCAAGCAUAUGCUAUAAAAAGGACCAUUCUACACACUCAUAUGCUUUGCUGAUAUCAAGUUUCAUUGUCAUGCCAGCUAAGCAACCCUUUUCCUCAAUUUUGUAUUAUGCAUAGGUUGAUGACAGAUAUGCAUAAAUUGAUGAUAGAUGAUAACAUUAUUAGAGAUUAGACGACCUUUUAUGGAAGCAUUAUGCUCCACUUCAAUGAUAGUGAUAAAUGACUAUUUAGACUCUGUUAGGAGUUUUAACCAAUAUCGUUUGACUAAAAUGAAAUAAGAGAAAAGAUAGGUUAGAAGAUGAAAAGUUGAUAAGUUGCAAAACUCACAUUUUUUUCCUCAUUUAAUUCCUUGAUUUUACUGUAAUUUUGAUAUAAAUAUUUAAUUUUAAUUUGAAUUUAAUUUUGGACAGGUUUGUGAGCAGAAGUUGAGAAAAUGAAGAAAAAAAGACUGAAUUAAAUGAUUUUUUUAUAUUGGGAGGCUACAACCUUGACCAAACCUGUAACCCAAGGCGAUAGGGAGAUAAGAUAGAUUUUGCCACCUAAACAAGGAUAAGAUCACUUUCAAG